CAGAGACUGCAAGCGUUAUUCGGAUUCACUGGGCGUAAAGGGUGCGCAGGCGGUCGGGUGUGUCAGAUGUGAAAUCCCGAGGCUCAACCUCGGAACUGCGUCUGAAACUACUCGACUAGAGUACUGGAGAGGGUAACGGAAUUCACGGUGUAGCAGUGAAAUGCGUAGAUAUCGUGAGGAACACCAGAGGCGAAGGCGGUUACCUGGACAGUUACUGACGCUCAGGCACGAAAGCAUGGGGAGCAAAAGGGAUUAGAUACCCCUGUAGUCCAUGCCCUAAACGGUGCACACUAGGUCUUAGCGGAUUCGACCCCACUAGGGCCCAAGCUAACGCGUUAAGUGUGCCGCCUGAGGACUGCGGUCGCAAGACUA
rnacentral:rRNA from 1 species